rnacentral:rRNA from 1 species
GUCUAAGGCCACACCACCCUGAACACACCCAGUCGUGUCUGAUCUCAGAAGCUCAGCAGGGUCCGGCGUGCUUAGUGCUUGGCU